CAGAACGAAUGUAUUUGCACUUGAGCAUUUAGGCCUAUUUUUUUUUUCUUAUUUUAAUUAGUUAAUUAUGUUCAUUUAAAUAUUUUGAAUAUUUAUAUCUUAAUUUUCGUUUCAAAUUUUAUAAAUAGAUUCGGCUCUUCUGAAAUGCGAGCCGGCUCCUAACGUUCACCUACAAGACUCGUUCGUGAACGGCCCAAAGCAGUCUGGACUGGUUGAAGCAGAGUGGGAAGGAUUAUUUUGAAAGUGUUUCAGUCUGCCGUGAAUCAUCAUAAUCCAUACACUGCAUAAACCUGCUCUCCGCCACCAGCAAAAGGAGAUGAUUGAGGGUGAACAUGCAACACAUCAGCCUGGUGGUGUUGUGGCCAUGGAGCUUUCACUCAGAUGGAACCAGGUUACAGCUGCUGUGCAACGUUGACGUCCUUCCUCCCAGACAUGUGAAUGCAUCCCCUGGACUGGACACAACCCGGCAAACAUAUUUUUGAGAAGAUCAGGACUUUUGCAAUGAAAAGGCCAUGGACAUUAUAUGUCCUGAUCCAAAGGGCAGAAUAGAAUAUAUGCUCUCAGGCUAGAUUCCUUUGUUCAUAUCAUAACAUGACCUGAACCAAAGUUAUUCUAAGGAUCUUGUGAUAUAGGCCUAGGUCAAUAUAUUGUUUUUACCUAAGCCUUUGUGUUUGUGUGUUUUUAAGUUUUUUGUAAUUGCAGGCUACUACCUUUAGCACUUGAAGUUAAUAAAGUAUU